rnacentral:rRNA from 1 species
GAUGAACGCUGGCGGCGUGCCUAAUACAUGCAAGUCGAGCGAAGCGGGGACGGGUGAGUAACACGUGGAUAACCUCCUAUAAGACUGGGAUAACUUCGGGAAUCCGGAGCUAAACCGGAUACUACUAGAUGGACCCGCGCUGCAUUGGCGAGUUGGUACGGUAACGGCUUACCAAGCCGACGUUGCGUAGCCGACCUGAGAGGGUGUUCGGCCACACUGGGACUGAGAGAGGGUCCAGACUCCUACGGGAGGCAGCAGUAGGGAGUCUUCGGCAAUGGGGGAAAGCCUGACGGAGCAACACCGCGUGUAUGAUGAAGGUCUUCGGAUCGUAAAGCUCUGUUGGUAGGGAAGCGGUACCUAAUCGAUAAGCAGCGGCUAACUACGUGCCAGCAGCCGCGGUAAUUC